rnacentral:lncRNA from 1 species
GAAUGUAAUUAGUGUGCAUGGACCAGGGGCCUCAUGUACUAAGACUUGCGUGGAUUUCAUACUGAAACUUGGCGUGCGCCAAAACCCAGAAACUGUCUUACGCACAAAUAAAUUCAGAUGUAUCAAAGUGUGCGAACGCAUGGAUCCAAGCACGUUUCUUUUGUACAUCUCGAUCAACGUGGAAUUGAGCGCACAUGCCGAGGUGCCAAACUCCUCCCUGUCCACGCCCUCAUUUAAAUAUGCAAUUUCAUUUAAAUAGGCCUCUUGACAUGAGAUUCACCUCUUAAUCCGAUCACCUGGCACCAUGAACAGGGGCGAAAAACGAAACUUCACGGAGUCUGAGCUCGAGAUUUUGCUCCACGAGGUAGAAAUGCGCAAGCAUAUGCUAUUGGAACCCUGUCAACAGGGAUAAAUGCAAAACAAAAGAGAAGUGAGUGGGAGUGUGUUUGCGAGGCCGUCAAUGCAGUGGGGUCUCAGCAGCGCACACACUCUGAAAUUAAGAAAAAGUGGUCAGACCUCAAGGUGGAGGUGAAGCGGAGGGUUUCUGCCCACCGCCGAAGUGUGACCGCAACAGGAGGGGGGACGGGAGUGGGGGAACUCUCCGCCUUCGAUUUGAGAGUGGCCGCUUUGAUCGGUGACACGGCUCUCACCGGAGAGGUGGGAGCCCAUGAAGGGGACACCGAUCAUCCAAGACAAGCAAGGAGAGGGCACGGAUUGCUCCGUCGGCCCCGGCGUCUCCUCCUUCGGCCCCGGCGUCUCCAGCGCCCUUCGGAUUUGACCAUUUGCGACGUCCUCUAACAACGCUAACGCAGCCAUUUUUAAAACAAUUUUCUUCAUCCAUUGCGCAUGCUUUUAUAGCCACCCAUAUAAUUGCAAGGUGUGUGAAUUGUUCAUUAGUGUGUCUCUGAUGUGCAAAUCACUCUGAGUCAUUGUUUUCACCUUUUUUCCCAGUUUCCCAGCGUCACCUCUAAGUGUCGCCAAAGGAACAAUAGCUGUAGAAACGUGCGUACGACAGCUCUGGAGCUGGCGUGGGGACCGCACAUUUUUACGGUCAUUUCACGUUUUGUACAUCUGAACGUGAGCGUGGAAAAGGACGUACGCCACGUUUUUGUGCGUACGCAACCUUAGUACAUGAGGCCCCAGGGGUCUCAUUUAUAAAACUGUGCGUGGGAUCGUUACUAAAAAUGUGCGUACGCCCAGAAGCCAAGUUUUGCGUGCGCCAAAAAAUAUUCGGAUUUAUAAAACACUGCGUACGCACACCUGUACGCAAUCUUUGCUUUAUAAAUCACAUACUGACUACAAUUGUGCGCAGCUGUAUCAGCUUCACGUUCCGCCCUCUACACGCCCCUUUUUAACCAUAAAUGGUCAAUGCAAAUGACCUCAUGAAUGCGAUCUGCAUAUAAAACAGACUCAGAUGCCGGUAUUAUGUCUUGUUGGAAACAAUGGCAGAAGUACUGAGAAAAUCAAAAAAGCGAAAUUUCACGGAGGUUGAAGUGGAGACACUUGUGGGUGAGGUGGAGGCCCGAAAGGUAGUUUUGUUCGGCGGUCACGGGAUUGGGAUCGCCAAC